AUUCAUAUCCCAAGAAUCUACAAUAUUCACCUGAAUCUUGAAGAAGAAGAUCAUUGAAGGCAAAGUCAAUUCUCUGUUCCAUGUUUUCUGAGUGAUUGAAGCAUUACAAUAUUCCAUGGAGAAGGGAAAGAGAGGGAUUUUACCCCCAGGAGGAGGGAUGAUUUGAUAAAUGGCUGCCCUUUGCUACUAUCUGUUUCUGCCUAAUACUUAUGCAGUAGACAAUCAAGCUAUUUAACUCUUGGUUUGAGUUCAACCCAAGUAUUUAAAUUCUGAUUCAACAACAGGCUGAAGAAUGUCACGGGAUGGACUUCAAUGUGAGGGACGGCGAGUCAAGUGACUAUCAGGAGUUGAGAAAAAGUCUUAUAAACACCUUGGCUUUCUGAGUUAUAUUAAUAACAAUUAGAAAACCUCUUUUUCUAGAGCAAUAUUCAUGGAAGUGAACAGAGAUCCCUAUGGGUUUGUUACAACUUCUAUGCUGUCUUGAUCCCAUCAUGUCUCACUCCAAGACAUUCCUA